CAAAAAUUUUACAACUGUAUGAUAGGGAUACUUAUUAUAAGUGUUGUGUCUAUAAAUAAGGGACGAUCUUUGAUUUUUGAUUUUAAAACAUUAUAUUAAAUUUUAUAUCUUUUUUCGUCUAACAUGUAUGAAGACGAGAAUAUUUAAAUAGCAUAAUUUCGAAUCAUUAGCUACUUCCUUAUGAAUAGUUUAAUUUUUUAUUAGUGUUUCAACAAACCCUUUCAAUUCAAUUCAAGGAGUCAUGCCUUAAUUAUCUAAGUAAUCAACGUUACACUAAAGAACACAAAUUAAAAACCCCAAAAGGCUUGUCAUGACUAAAUACUUAUUCUCCAGUGCUAAUAAAAACAUCUCUAAGACUACUAAAUACAAAUUAAGGCGAUGCAAAAUAGAAUUGGAAAACUAAAAGUCACAUUGGAAAUUCAUUGUCACCCAUUCAAAUUAGAUAACAAUAAAAAAAA
rnacentral:lncRNA from 1 species